rnacentral:miRNA from 1 species
CAGCAGACACAUUCCAGCCAAUCAGCAGCAGACCCUCCCUCCCACCUCCUGGACAGCAUCCAUUUUACAUUCAUUGUGAAGCUGCAUUCUUAGUGAGCUGUCCAGGAGGUGGGAGGGUCUGGGAGGGAGGGUCUGCUGCUGAUUGGCUGGAAUGUGUCUGCUG